UACGAAGGGGGCUAGCGUUGCUCGGAAUCACUGGGCGUAAAGCGCACGUAGGCGGAUUGUUAAGUCAGGGGUGAAAUCCUGGAGCUCAACUCCAGAACUGCCUUUGAUACUGGCGAUCUUGAGUCCGGGAGAGGUGAGUGGAACUGCGAGUGUAGAGGUGAAAUUCGUAGAUAUUCGCAAGAACACCAGUGGCGAAGGCGGCUCACUGGCCCGGUACUGACGCUGAGGUGCGAAAGCAUGGGGAGCGAACAGG
rnacentral:rRNA from 1 species